ensembl:lncRNA
GGGCUGCUUCCCUAAUUCAUUACCAAUUAGUCCGGGUUUAAGAAAUGUGUAAAUUGUUUCGAAGCGCUCAAGCGUAACUGUCUCGGGCUGAGGUGACUAACUCUCUGACAAAGCCCUAAAAGCGAAUGCAGAUCACCAUCGCUAUAUGAUCAGCGUCCGCCAACUACCUACAUAGUUAUGAAAAUGACCGCGUCAAAAUAUCUUACUAUAUUUACCAUCUAAAAAAGGUGGUCCUCCUGCCUCAGUCAAGGCCGGGGGGUACGCGCGCCCCCGGCUGAGUGAAGACACGGACAGAUGCAUGCGAAUUUAGUCAUUCAGGUUGCUGGUUGUCCCUGAUUGCAGACCUGCAGCCGUCACUUGCUUUGAGUAAGUGUGCUCCUAAUGACUAUUGCAUGAUGGACAUCCAUAUAAAGAAAGAUUGCA